UACGAAGGGUGCAAACGUUGCUCGGAAUUACUGGGCGUAAAGGGCGCGUAGGCGGCCUUCUAAGUCAGACGUGAAAUCCCUCGGCUCAACCGGGGAACUGCGUCUGAUACUGGGAGGCUUGAAUCCGGGAGAGGAAUGCGGAAUUCCAGGUGUAGCGGUGAAAUGCGUAGAUAUCUGGAGGAACACCGGUGGCGAAGGCGGCAUUCUGGACCGGCAUUGACGCUGAGGCGCGAAAGCCAGGGGAGCAAACGGG
rnacentral:rRNA from 1 species